CUUCCCCUCCUCCUCUUGUGCGCCCCCCCAUCCCUCAACUCGCGCGCGCACGGCCGCAUCCGCGGCACGCCGCGCCGCAUCCCGUGCCCGCGCAAAACCGGAUCCGCCGCCGCCAUGGCGGUGGACCGCGUGGACGGCGAGGAGGCGUUCGAGGAGGUGGACCCGACGGGGCGGUUCGGGCGGUACGCGGACGUGCUGGGGCUCGGGUCCGUCAAGAAGGUGUACCGCGGGUUCGACCAGGAGGAGGGGAUCGAGGUGGCGUGGAACCGCGUCCGGCUGCGGUCGCUGGCCGACCGCGACCCCGGCAUGGUGGAGCGCCUCCACGCCGAGGUGCGCCUCCUCCGCUCGCUCAGCCACGACCACAUCAUCGGCUUCCACAAGGUGUGGCUGGACCGCGACGCCGGCGUCCUCAACUUCAUCACCGAGGUCUGCACCUCCGGGAGCCUCCGCGAGUACCGCCACCGACACCGCCACGUCUCCGUCAAGGCGCUCAAGAAGUGGGCGCGCCAGAUCCUCGAGGGGCUCAACCACCUCCACACCCACGACCCCUGCAUCAUCCACCGCGACCUCAACUGCAGCAACGUCUUCAUCAAUGGCAACAACGGCCAGGUCAAGAUCGGCGACCUCGGGCUGGCGGCGAUCGUGGACAAGACGCACGUGGCGCACACCAUCCUGGGCACGCCGGAGUUCAUGGCGCCGGAGCUGUACACGGAGACGUACACGGAGUCGGUGGACAUCUACUCGUACGGCAUGUGCGUGCUGGAGAUGGUCACGCGGGAGGUGCCCUACGCCGAGUGCGGCAGCGUCGUGCAGAUCUUCCACAACGUCACCCGGGGCGUCCCGCCCGCGGCGCUCAAGCGGCUCAAGGACGCCGAGCUGCGGGGCUUCAUCGAGCGCUGCAUCGGCCAGCCCCGGAACCGGCCCUCGGCCGCUGACCUCCUGCAGGACCCCUUCUUCAACGGCGUCCGUGGCGGGGACGACGACGACGACGCCGCGGCGCUCGCCGACGCCUCCAGCGUCGUCGCCGCCGCGCCCGUGCCGCGCCCCAGGAGCUACGUCGACGACCUCGCCGGGCUCCGGCUGGACUGACCUGACCGUCCCUCCCAGCGUUCUGCCUUUCAUCAGUACCGGGAUUCCGGCGCGUGUUAGACGUGUUUUAUUAGAAGUGGAUUCCUGGCCGGCGAGCGACUGCCUGCAAGUGUGUAUAGAUUAUUGUUUAUUUUUACGUCUCCCCGGCGAUUGGCUAGUUUUCACUGUACCUGUACCAAUAAUUGUUGUUGGCUUUGCGCCAGAUGAAGCGCUGUAUUUGACUUUGCGUGCUGAUUCUUUCAAACAGAGGUUGGUUGGCAAACUUAUAAUAUUUCCCUGCGCUGAGCUGGAUACCGCCAUGGAUGCAGUAGACGCGAGAGAUGAGGGCAGCGUUCUGGCCUGUCUCUGCCGGGGGCCCUGGGGACAUGGACGGCGGCAAGCCGAGCGUCGCCUACCUGUCACCUGAGCUUCUCGUCCCUUGACGCAUCAGGAACAUCAUGGGCAGCCCGCAGCUGUGACUGCAAGCUGCAGACAAACUGUCAAGCAAUCUUGCACAGGCACAGGCAGAGGCUGGAUGUGCAAUCCAGUUUAUGAAGCCUUGUCGGCCAUUGUCCUUACUGUUGUCCUUUGUUAUGUUCAUUCAUGUGACAUCUGUCACCUGUGAAAGCUGAAAUCUGAAGCCUGAAGGGACCAUCACGAUUCACGACUUGUCUUUUGCAGGUCAACUGAGAAGCUUAAAGCAUCGUUAACUCGGAUAAACUAUUGCCUGAUCUGCGCGGUUUGGGCUAAUCAGCUGGGAUCAUACCGGGUUGGGUGUUAGCUGGGCUAAGUUUGAGUGUUUGACUAGUUAGCUUGAGGCAAGUCCAAGAACAGCUCGAGUGGGCCGAUUGAAUGGCUCGCAUAUUUCUAUCAAUAGGCUGAGAGGUCAUGACUCGCCCAGACAGAAUUCAGGAUAAACUCCC
rnacentral:misc_RNA from 1 species